GUCCGGGCUAAACAGGGGCUUGGUAGAGUAUGCACUGCUGUCCCCGUGAACACAAACCUGCAGACAUCUCAGUGGCUUCAUCGCCAGGCACAGGGCCUAAGAGAGCUACAUAGAGAGAGAGAGAGAGAGAGGUCCGUCUUCCAUCCGCCGGUUCCCUCCCACCUGCAGUGGCCGGAGCUGCGCCGAUCCGAAGCCAGGAACCAGGGCCUUUGUCCAGGUCUUUGACGUAUGUGCAGGGCCCCAAGCACUGAACCAUCCUCCGCUACUUCUCCGGCGCAUUCGGAUCGGAAUCUGGAUCGGAACUGUGGCAGCCAGGACGACCGGAGCCGAGGGCUUGUCGGCACCAUGGAAGGUAGUUGUACCCGGUACCACCGCGACGGACCCAAAGCCGUCUUUGCUAAUGCAAAUCCGAGAACCUCUCCUGCCCCCCAACGCCCAGUCUCGAGUGCAAGAUCACAGAAAACGCUUGAGACCCCUCUUUAAGUCCCGGAGAUCCUGCCCACCAAAGAAGCCGUUAGUCCCGCCCUGGAAUCCUAGCAACCGCCGCGGGAAGUCCCGGUGCCGCGGACGGACGCCGCCAGGGGGCGGGGCCUCACCACGCGCGCAUGCGUGGGGGUGGCUGCGCGUGGGCGCCCGGUGCAUUCUGGGCCAGGUGACCCGGGGCCCGGCGUGCGUGUCCGCCCGAGUGGGCGGUGGGUGAGGCGCGAGCAGGGCCGAUGGGGCAGCUGAUGUCCAGGGUGUCCUGCCGGCGGCCCCCGACAUGUGGGAGGCCUACACGUUAAUGGUUCAGUCUUGUCCGUGACCAUUGGAGGAUCGCUUCCCGCUUUUCGGUCCUCUCCUCUUUCUGUGCUGUGAUACCGGGUGGUUCUCUGCGGGCGCGAAAUCGUCCGACGUCUAAAGAGCGGCAAGGACUCCCGUUUCUCUUGCUGACCUAGAAUGAUAAGGUCGGCAGAGGCCGCAGAUUCACUGUGGCCUGUCAGCCCCGCAGCGCGCUGCUUCAUUACUCUGCCGCAUGAGGUCUUAGCGAGGGUCCAUCCUCUGCACCGGACAGUCGGGGGGAAACCCUGGGUGCGUGUCUAAUCGGGAGUCACGGGUGAAUGGUGCCUUUGAGUAACUGAGCCAUGGGUGUUGUCUCUGGGGUCAGGGAAGGGCGAGCAUGCCUGACACGUCUCCAAGUGAUGGAGGCAGGCGUCCGCACCCCUGGGUGAUGGCCCUGUCCUGAGUGCUUUCUACAGGACCGGCAGUCUUGUCCCCCGCGUCCUGCUGGAGACACCUGCCACCCUGCGCAGUCUGCGGCUGCUUUGUGUCUCCCUCACCCUGGUCAGUUCUGCUGACCCCUGGCUGACUCAGCCUCAGCCCAGCUGCGCUGACAGCAGCAAAGCCCCCUGGAUGCGGGUCUCACCCUCAUCCUCCCCCUGUGCAGGGCUUGCCCCUCUGCAGCCCAGCUGCGGGUCACCUACCCCUAAGCAAUAUGGCUCCCUUCAGGUGAGCACUUGGGCACCUUUUAAGAAAAAGAGACUUACUUGAUUAUAUGAAGGCAGAAGGACAGAGAAAGAGGGACAGACAGAGGGAGUGGGCCACCUUCCAGUCACUGUUCACUUCCCAAAUGGCCACAGAUGCCUGGGCUGGGCCAAGCCAAAUCAGGAGUCUGCAACUCCAUCCGGGUCUCCAUGUAGGUUGCAGGGGCCCAGCACUCAGACCCUCAUCAGCUCCUUUCCAAGGUGCAUGACCUGAUGAGCUGCGCCAGAAGUGGGGCAGGUAGGACUCCAACCAGCCCUCACAUGGGAAGCAGGUAUCCCAGGCAGCAGCUUAACCCACCGUGCCACAGUGCCAGCCCUGCACCCUGGUCUUGAAUCAGCCACUGUCCAGACUCUCCUUCAGGGAAUCGUGCCCCUGGCGUGUCCCCUGCCACACAGCAGCAGCCUCCAUCAGCUCCUGAAAAGUGCCAGGGGCUUCCGAAGGUUCACGGGCAAGUGGAGGUGAAUGCUAGGUUUACUAUGGAGCAUGCAAUGCUGCAGUCACUGUGAUGUUUGUUCAGUGUGCUCGGAUCUUGUGCACUUUUUGAAGACCCACCAUACAGUCGUGCGAAAUGAACGUUCUUAUUCCCAAACAUGUGUUGGGUAAAAUCCUA